CGGCGAGGGGAGUGAAAAAGAACCUGAAACCGUGUACGUACAAGCAGUGGGAGCCCCACCACUAAGCCAGUGGUGAACUCCACAUACGCAUCCUUUGCUGAGGAUACGGUUAACGGAGCGAAAGCGACGUUCAACCUCAAAAGAAGCAGAGGGGGCUUAGUGGUGGGGUGACUGCGUACCUUUUGUAUAAUGGGUCAGCGACUUAUAUUCUGUAGCAAGGUUAACCGAAUAGGGGAGCCGGAGGGAAACCGAGUCUUAAUUGGG
rnacentral:rRNA from 1 species